UGGUCGGAGGCAGCAGAUCGAGGAGCCAUCAUGGCAGCAGCGUUCCGCAGAGGCUGCAGGGUCCUGAGAAGUGUUUCUCAUUUUGAGUGUCGAACACAACACAGGAAAGCGGCUCUGAAGCAGGAGCCCGGAUUAGGGUUUAGUUUUGAGUUGACCGAACAGCAGAAAGAGUUUCAAGCAACUGCCCGGAAGUUUGCCAGAGAGGAGAUUAUCCCUGUCGCCCCGGAAUAUGACAAAAGCGGGGAGAACCCAUUCCCUCUCAUCAAAAGAGCCUGGGAACUUGGCUUGAUCAAAGCACACAUUCCAGAAAGUUGCGGUGGUCUUGGUCUGGGAAUGUCCGAUGCUUGUUUAAUUACCGAAGAGUUGGCGUAUGGGUGUACAGGGGUGCCAACUGCUAUUGAAGCAAACUCUUUGGGACAAAUGCCUGUGAUUCUUGCUGGAAAUGAUCAACAAAAAAAGAAUUAUUUGGGGAGGAUGACGGAGCAGCCGAUGAUGUGUGCCUACUGUGUGACAGAGCCCUCCAUGGGCUCUGAUGUGGCGGGCAUUAAGACCAAAGCCGAGAAGGGUGAUGAAUAUGCUAUCAAUGGCCAGAAGAUGUGGAUAACCAACGAGGGGGUGGGGGAGGCCAACUGGUAUUUCUUGUUGGCGCGUUCUAACCCAGAUCCUAAAGUACCCGCUAGUAAAGCCUUUACCGGAUUCAUUGUAGAAGCCGACACCCUGGGAAUACAUAUUGGAAAAAAGGAACUAAAUAUGGGCCAGCGAUGCUCUGACACCAGAGGAAUUGCAUUCGAAGAUGUCAGAGUGCCUAAGGAAAAUGUGUUAAUCGGUGAAGGAGCGGGUUUCAAGACCGCAAUGGGUGCUUUUGACAGAGCCAGACCUACAGUCGCAGCUGGCACUGUCAGGCUAGCCCAGAGAGCUCUGGACAAAGCCAAAAAGUAUGCCCUGGAAGACAUUUGGAAAGCUGCUGGUGGAGCACCAAGGAGUUUCAUUUUUGCUCGCAGAAAUGGCGAUGAAAGUUGAACUCGCUAAGCUCAGUUACCAGAGAGCAGCAGCCUGGGAGGUUGACUCUGGCCACCGGAACACUUACUAUGCCUCGAUUGCAAAGGCCUUUGCUGGAGAUAUUGCCAAUCAGCUAGCUACUGAUGCUGUGCAGAUUUUCGGGGGCUAUGGAUUCAACACAGAGUACCCCGUGGAGAAGCUGAUGAGAGACGCCAAGAUCUAUCAGAUUUAUGAAGGUACUACACAAAUUCAGAGGCUUAUUAUAGUUCGUGAGCACAUUGAAAAGUAUAAAAAUUAA